GGAAGGGUGGCCGAGUGGUUUAAGGCAGCGGUCUUGAAAACCGCCGUUGGUGCAAGCCAACCGUGGGUUCGAAUCCCACCCCUUCCGCCA
rnacentral:tRNA from 1 species